GAAUUCUUCAAUGCCUUCUCAUUUCUUCUGGGCUCCAACUACUUAAUUUCAUCUUCCCAUAAUAUUGCAGCUAUGGGUUGUCAAUCCAAGUUGAUUCAGAGUGAUUCUCAUGU